CCUACGGGAGGCAGCAGUGGGGAAUCUUGCGCAAUGGGCGGAAGCCUGACGCAGCAACGCCGCGUGCGGGAUGAAGGCCUUAGGGUUGUAAACCGCUUUCAGCAGGGAAGAAAAUGACUGUACCUGCAGAAGAAGGUGCGGCCAACUACGUGCCAGCAGCCGCGGUGACACGUAGGCACCAAGCGUUGUCCGGAUUUAUUGGGCGUAAAGAGCUCGUAGGCGGUUCAGUUAGUUGGGUGUGAAAACUCCGGGCUUAACCCGGAGCCGCCACCCAAUACUGCUGUGACUAGAGUUCGGUAGGGGAGCGGGGAAUUCCUAGUGUAGCGGUGAAAUGCGCAGAUAUUAGGAGGAACACCGGUGGCGAAGGCGCCGCUCUGGGCCGAAACUGACGCUGAGGAGCGAAAGCAUGGGUAGCAAACAGGAUUAGAUACCCUGGUAGUCCAUGCGUAACGUAGGUCGACUAGGUGUGGUCGUCAUACACGAACGUACCGCGCCGUCGCUACGCAUAGUGCCCGCCGUCGGGAGGUACGGUCGCGAGACGAAACGUACAAGAGAGUGUAACGGUCGUGAGACGUGCGACGGACGACGACGAGGGAGGAGG
rnacentral:rRNA from 1 species